rnacentral:rRNA from 4 species
CCUAGCGGCCGUAGCGCGGUGGUCCCACCUGACCCCAUGCCGAACUCAGAAGUGAAACGCCGUAGCGCCGAUGGUAGUGUGGGGUCUCCCCAUGCGAGAGUAGGGAACUGCCAGGC